AAGUAGCUUUGUUAAUGUCUGCCGCUAAGGUUUCCACUAGUUACAAGAGAAAGAAGGCCCUCCGGCUUUCUGACUGCCUGGUUGUGGCAGCCAAGAUUGAGUGGGGGAAUACAGGA
rnacentral:snoRNA from 1 species